UCCAUAGUGUUUCAUCUGUAGGUGCUGCAGUCCUACUUUAAGGCUCCAUAGUGUUUAAUCUGUAGGUGCUACAGUCCUCCUUCCAGACUCCAUAGUGUUUCAUCAGUAGGUGCUACAGUCCUCCUUCCAGACUCAAUAGUGUUUCAUCUGUAGGUGCUGCAGUCCUACUUUAAGGCUCCAUAGUGUUUAAUCUGUAGGUGCUACAGUCCUCCGUCCAGAGUCCAUAGUGUUUCAUCAGUAGGUGCUACAGUCCUCCUUCCAGGCUCCAUAGUGUUUCAUCUGUAGGUGCUACAGUCCUCCUUCCAGACUCCAUAGUGUUUCAUCUGAAGGUGCUACAGUCCUCCUUCCAGACUCCAUAGUGUUUCAUCUGUAGGUGCUACAGUCCUCCGUUAAGGCUCCAUAGUGUUUCAUCUGUAGAUGCUACAGUCCUCC
rnacentral:lncRNA from 13 species